rnacentral:rRNA from 1 species
CCUACGGGAGGCAGCAGUAGGGAAUCUUCCGCAAUGGACGAAAGUCUGACGGAGCAACGCCGCGUGAACGAUGAAGGCCUUCGGGUCGUAAAGUUCUGUUGUUAGGGAAGAACAAGUGCUAGUUAAAUAAGCUGGCACCUUGACGGUACCUAACCAGAAAGCCACGGCUAACUACGUGCCAGCAGCCGCGGUAAUACGUAGGUGGCAAGCGUUGUCCGGAAUUAUUGGGCGUAAAGCGCGCGCAGGCGGUUUCUUAAGUCUGAUGUGAAAGCCCCCGGCUCAACCGGGGAGGGUCAUUGGAAACUGGGAAACUUGAGUGCAGAAGAGGAAAGUGGAAUUCCAAGUGUAGCGGUGAAAUGCGUAGAGAUUUGGAGGAACACCAGUGGCGAAGGCGACUUUCUGGUCUGUAACUGACGCUGAGGCGCGAAAGCGUGGGGAGCAAACAGGAUUAGAUACCCUGGUAGUCCACGCUGUAAACGAUGAGUGCUAAGUGUUAGAGGGUUUCCGCCCUUUAGUGCUGAAGUUAACGCAUUAAGCACUCCGCCUGGGGAAUCGGUCGCAAGCNGACANAANAGAUAGAGNGNGAGAGNGCGAGACGACACGAGGAGAG